rnacentral:lncRNA from 1 species
GCUGGCUGAUUGUGAGAUGGCAUAUUUCUUAAAGACAUUUAGAAUCUCAUACUCAGAUGAUAUCUGAAUUUACAAGGCAAAGGAUUAAAUUGAGGCACUUUCAGGUAGGAUUCAACAAAAAGCUACUUCAAAUUUUAAUAUGUUCUGGUUAGAUUAUUUUGUAUUUGAAUUAAAAUAGUUAUGCAGUUUUGUGUAACCAAAAUGGCAAUUUUGAUUUUUUUUUAGACAAAAUACAAUCAAGGCCAAAGAAAUGUAUGACUACUCUAAUUUCUCAGACUCUGUCAAGAAUUAACUCAGCUAAUUGCAGUUGAUUCUAGAUGCAGAACCUACAUCUAGACAAAGCU